UGUAAUACAACCGACGUGGAUUUUAUUUUUAAAUUAUAAAUAGAGGUUUUUUUCCCGAAUUCUUUCAGUUUUAGUUUUCAAUUACAAAGCGUGAUAAAUAGAUUUUUCUUUCCCGAGGAAAUUUAAAAUGAGGGAAAUUAAUGUUCUAGAAUUUGUAAACUAACACGACGCAAUAUUACUAACCCGAGGAAAUUAUAAAUAGAUUUUGCUUUCCCGAAGAAAUUUUAAAUUAAUUCAGUUUGAA
rnacentral:lncRNA from 1 species